rnacentral:rRNA from 2 species
AAUCCAUAGGUUAAUGAGGCGAACCGGGGGAACUGAAACAUCUAAGUACCCCGAGGAAAAGAAAUCAACCGAGAUUCCCCCAGUAGCGGCGAGCGAACGGGGAGGAGCCCAGAGCCUGAAUCAGCAUGUGUGUUAGUGGAAGCGUCUGGAAAGGCGCGCGAUACAGGGUGACAGCCCCGUACACAAAAGCGCAUGUGCUGUGAGCUCGAUGAGUAGGGCGGGACACGUGGUAUCCUGUCUGAAUAUGGGGGGACCAUCCUCCAAGGCUAAAUACUCCUGACUGACCGAUAGUGAACCAGUACCGUGAGGGAAAGGCGAAAAGAACCCCGGCGAGGGGAGUGAAAAAGAACCUGAAACCGUGUACGUACAAGCAGUGGGAGCCCCACCACCAAAGCAUUUGCUGUACCGCGUUGACGGAGCGAAGCGACGUCAAACCGAUAAAACAGCAGUGUAAAGUGAGCCGCAGGGCGCUUUGCGCGACAGCGCAAAGGCAGGCGGUUUCGCGUAGCGAAAGCGAAUGCUUUGGGGUGGGGUGACUGCGUACCUUUUGUAUAAUGGGUCAGCGACUUAUAUUCUGUAGCAAGGUUAACCGAAUAGGGGAGCCGGAGGGAAACCGAGUCUUAAUUGGGCGUUAAGUUGCAGGGUAUAGACCCGAAACCCGGUGAUCUAGCCAUGGGCAGGUUGAAGGGUGGGUAACACUAACUGGAGGACCGAACCGACUAAUGUUGAAAAAUUAGCGGAUGACCUGUGGCUGGGGGUGAAAGGCCAAUCAAACCGGGAGAUAGCUGGUUCUCCCCGAAAGCUAUUUAGGUAGCGCCUCGUGAAUUCAUCUCCGGGGGUAGAGCACUGUUUCGGCUAGGGGGCCAUCCCGGCUUACCAACCCGAUGCAAACUGCGAAUACCGGAGAAUGUUAUCACGGGAGACACACGGCGGGUGCUAACGUCCGUCGUGAAGAGGGAAACAACCCAGACCGCCAGCUAAGGUCCCAAAGUCAUGGUUAAGUGGGAAACGAUGUGGGAAGGCCCAGACAGCCAGGAUGUUGGCUUAGAAGCAGCCAUCAUUUAAAGAAAGCGUAAUAGCUCACUGGUCGAGUCGGCCUGCGCGGAAGAUGUAACGGGGCUAAACCAUG